AAAAAAAAAAAAAAAAAAAGAACACAAAUCACAGGAGAACUACAGUCAGUUACCAAAGUAUUUGCUGCACUGCAAAUUGAAGAGGAGAAAAGAGAAGAUGACAUGGCAAGAAAGAAAAAAGUUUCAACAAGACCACUAUAGGAACAGUAAAAGAGAAGAGGUAGAUAAGAAUUUGGACAGGUGUGCAUGCUGCCGUAAGCCUCUGUGCAGAGCAGGGCUGUACUACUGCAAUCACUAUUAUGAUGUGAAACAGAAGAAUGUGAAGUCUAUACAGAAUGAAGUCUACAGAUACGAAGUCUAUGGCAGAAAUGAAAUUUUUUUGUUGCCUUCAUGAUUCUAAGCCAGUGAUAUAAUGCAGGGCCACCUUUCUGCCUCUUCUCUAGAAAGAAUAUCUAAGACAUUUUCUGUGACAAUGUACGUAGCACAUGCAACAUUCAUCUAUAUUUUAAAUUGUUUCAUCUAAUAAUUUAUGCCUUGGUUUGUUUAAGAAGAAAUUUAACAUGACAUAAGUUCAGCUCAGAGGAAUUCAUCAUGUCUGUAUCAUCACUGGAAUGAAAUGUCUCUCCUAUCCCUUGUUUCCAUUUUCAUUCAAAUUGGACGGAAGAAACAGCCCUAGCAGAUUCAGCUCGUCAGCUAUAUUGCUGGUAAAAAUCUGUUUGGAAACAGAUUCCUCCACAUGAAAAUGUGUGUGUUAAUUAGCCCCUUUUGUGUCAGCCUGUUUCUAAGCCAAGUCUGAAGAGUCAUUUGAGGGCACCGAAUGUCUGUUCUGAAGAGAAGCUUACAUGAUUGAGAGUGUCAUGACCACUUGAAAAACUUUCUUCAAGGAUGAGAACUUUUCUGUUGGCAACAUGUUAUCAGGAACAUCUAGUCCAGCACCAUCAAGGAUUUUUCUAUUUAUUUUAAAAACAUGCAGACACUACAACUUUUAGUUGUAGUGAUACCGAGAAUUGAGGGCAGAAGGAAAAAUACUCAGAGAGAGAUUGAUUUAAUGAACAAAGUACAUUUCAUAUUGAAUAAGUGCCUGGAUUUAAAUGCCACAAGUUUACCUAUCACCUCCUGCUUCAUCUGUAACACUUUUAAGCACAGAAUGAGGCCAAGAAAUACAGCUAGAGCUUAUGAAUUUCAUACCCUAUUAAGAAGACUGGCAAUGAACAAAUGAGGUGCGUUGGUCAACCUACUACCUGCAGAAAGAAUUAAGUCAAAGGGUAUCUGCAUGAUAUGUGCCCAUUUUUACUAAAUUUGUGGACAUAAAAACCUUCCCUUCUUGGCUUAUCUAGUUGUAGCCAAGGAAGCACAAUCUAUUCCAAACCACCCUGACUUCAUUGGCUCAUAUAGGGCCCCAAUCCUCUGGAUGGAACUGGAGUGAGCAAGGAAAAACUAACUCAUUUCCUAACUAAACCAGCAAGUUUCUUCAUUCCCUUCCCCCACAGCAAGUCUAUGAACUCACUCUAUCUUUCCCACAACUCUCUUCUCAAAGAGAAACAAGGGUUAUUUUUCUCAUAACCACCCCAAACUGCAUUUCUGAGAGGACACUACUUCCUUCCAUUCUCAACAAUUUCAGAGGCUGCCAGAGGCUGCCCGUCUUCCCAGAAGUCACUCACAAAGUCAACAAGCAGUUUACCCUCUAACUGUUUUGAUGUUGGCCUGCCUUCCAGCAAUUCUCAAUUGGCACAUAGUCUCCUGCAGACUAUAAUCAGCUUGGCACACGUUAAAACAGCCAUGCCAGGGCUACGGCCAGAACGAGUCGAGUCAACUGCUGUGUUGCAGUUACAGUUUGUCUUGUUGGAGUUUCAGCAGCACACUCAAGACCAAAUUCUCCGACUGCCCACAUUGUCUGGCACUUUGAAUCUCCUUUAUGUCAAACUGAGAGCUGUCCUCCAGCAUACUCUGAGUUCCUUACACAGCUAAGAUAUUCUGCUCUCCAGCCUUUAUUCCAAAAGCAUCAAAUCACAAAGGCUAGUUGGUCCCGUUACAAUGUCGUAUCAGACUGCCUAAACACCCUUGCUGCUAUACAAGAUAUAGCCCUUCAGAAACCCUGCUGAACAGACCAAACUCAUAAGGCAGGCAUUUAUCCUUUGGAUACAACACAUUCACAACAGGGAGAAGGGCAUAAUCAGGUCCUCAGAGAUAAGCAUGAGCAAGUGGACUUCAUCAUUCCCUGGGAGGAGAAAUGCAAUGAGGCAGAUACCAAGGUCUAUCCUGAGGAUGCCUUUGCAGAUAAUGACAGUGGAACAUCACUCCUACCUAUAUAGCCACAUUCCUCUUCCCACCAAGCCACAAGGGCAGUCUUGGCAGAUAAGAUCACCAUUCAGAAAAAGUAAAUAGUCAGUAUAGACUGUUAAUAUGAUUAAGCACUCGGCUGCACCCAUCCAGUUAGCUCACCUGUUUGCUGUAGUUCUAUAUAUAAAAAAAAUGGGGAGUCCGGGCGAGUGAUUUUACCCACCUGACCAAGAAGAGGGGGAGGCAUCCAGAACAUCCUCAACACUGAACAGUAAAGUAAUUGCUAGGUACAGGUUUCCCAAAGGGUGACUUACAGACAUGGAGAAGUAACUCUUCCUUGACUCCUGAGUUUGUUGUUGCUUUUUGCUUGUUUGUUUGUUCAUUUGUUGUUUUGUUGUUGUUUAUGUAAGGCAGGAUGUAUUUGCAGUAGGAUAUAGAAACCAUGAUGUUGGGCAUUUUUUAAUGAACACACAGUGGAGAAGUCAACAACCUGUACAAUUGAGAAGUCACUCACUCUUCAUCUAUUGUUCUUCCAGAAGCACAUGAUGCUCUUAUUGGACAUUUUUUUUUUCUUACAUGUUUUGAAAACCCUUAUCAUUAUCUCACCCAUAUUCAAUUUUCUAUUAUUCCCUCAUCAACUUGCAAAAAGUCAUUAACACUGUGAAAGCAUCCAAACAAGGUAGCCCUUGAAGGGCACUAUUUCCAUAAAAAGUUCAAUAUCUAAUCUGAAUGAAAUUAAUAUGGAUAGCCUUUUUGUGUAGAUUCUGACUAUAAACACCUUCUGGUUAUUGGUAGUUUUCUAGUUUUACAACAGAGGAAAAAAAAAUCUGUCAUAAGAUCUGUCAUGAAGGGUUCACUACUUUUUAAGCCUCCCUCUCUUCCUGUAAGUCUAAUACAAUCUGCUUAAAUUGGAAAACAGAAAUUACUUUUACACUUAACUACAAAACCUGUUUUUGCUGUUUAUGAAGAUAAUCUAUUAUUUUGUUUUCAUGACCAAUAUAUGUUGAUAAAGAUGCUAAACUUCCCUUAUUUUGUGUCUACCAAGAUCAAGAUCUUCACUGGGUUGGAAUAAAGAGUGGCAGUCCACGCUCUCCUGACAGGCUUUUUCAAGAACUCCAUAGUUCUGAAUGAUCCUUAUAGCUCUCUCCACAUGGCCAAUCCACCUGCUUCAUAGGCAAUGCCUCUGUGCUUUAAGUGAACCAGAGGAAAACUCAACAGAAUGAGGGCAGCCAUUCCCUGGAGCUAAAUUCCUUGCAGUCUCAUUGUAUAAUAUUACAAAGGAUGCUCACAAUGAAUGCCCAGAAUGACCAAGACACAGUUGGGCAGAACUGAGUAAAUGCUGUUACCCAGUUACCCAGAUAUAAUCUUGGUGCGGCAAAGAGAAGCUAAGACUAGAAUGAGCACUGGCCAUAGGGACACAGUACUCAAGAUCCAGUGACCAUACAUGCAGAAGGCAGAAUGGUGUUUCUUUGUCUCUGGGCAGUAGGUUCACCUCCUUCCUUGGAGCAUCCUGCUUCCUCCCUUGCUCCUUUCCUAUCAUGUAGUCACAGAAAAAUCAAUGACAAUGUUGAAGGGAAGCACUGAGAAGGCUCUCUAACAAAAGGCAGCAUGACAGACCAUUAGAGAGUGAUAUACAUGUAGAGCAAAGAGGAGAGCAAGUAUCCUUACAAGAGAUGUUACAAGAGACUGUAUCCCAAGGACAUCCUGUGAACAUGAAUGAUUGAGAAUCAUGUGAUAGCCACUGCAGCCUUGUACAUGUCCCCUCCCUGAGCUAUCCUUACUGGAGAGAUUCUCUGGAACAUUUUAGAGGAGCUACAUAACUGUAGAAAUCUAGGAUGCAUUAAUAACUUUCUUCGUUUUUUGAGCUUGCUUUAGUGCAGGAGAGCUUCUGGGCCAUCAUAACUUUUCCUAGACCAUGAAGGGAGGUAAAGUCCAAGAAAAAGGUAUUUCCUCCAGCCUAUUGUAAUGAUUGAAAAUAAUUCCUAGCUACUACUAUAACACAUGCACAUAUAUACACACACACACACAUAUAUAUAAGUAUAAAUCAUGUUUCAUCACCUUGCAAAACCUUGAUUUCUUUCCUGAAGUUAUAACCAAUGUGCAGUUAUUUAACAUUUUGAACAAGUUGGGACAUGUCUAUCUAACGUAAGUCUAGUAAAACAUACCCAUGUUGGCAGUGAGGCACUGAAUAUUAAGUUUCUCUUGGAGAAACCUCUUAAAUAUAAGCAACUAACAAAUAUUUUUGUUGUUAAUAUAGGUCACUUAAUUUUAUGCUUUAUCAAAAAUCACUAUGUGAUGGUACACUUGAAUCUGUGUGUGGCUUGCUUUCUUUUUUCCUUUUUAUGCUUUUGGUAUUAACUCAACUUCAGAGUUCCUACAAAUUUACUGUAAAGGAUCUGUUUGACAAUGAGAGAAUAAGUUGCCAGCCAUGCCAAUUAUAGUGAUUUUGUGGUGUGGGACUGUAGGCCACUGGGAACUAAAGACCCAUGCCAGAAAAAAGAAAAUGCUUUUCUAGGCAUCUCUGUUUCUUUCACAAUUCUAUUCACUUAUUCAAAUCAAGCUAUGGCUUACUAGUAUGUUAUCUAAAAAAAGAGAUUAGGUUUACAUUGGGACUUUUUGGGUAGCUGAUAUUAAACAGGGACACAGAAGAAAUUCUUUUUCUUUUAUUUAAUCUUUUUUUUUUUUUCUUUUUCUUUCUUCCCCUUAGGAAAGUAACAUCUGGAACAAAUAGAGUCUUUAACUGAUUAUCAUUAACACAAUUGUGUUGUGUUCUCAAAAAGCUAUUAAAAAGUGUUAACAUGGUUACAUCAUGAACUUCAGCUGGUUCUUAUAACACAUGAAUCAACUGAAAUGUUCACAUCGUGUAUAUUUAAGAUACUGUAUUUUAAAACAUGAUUUUGAGAAUAUUUUCAUUAAAUUUAAGAUGAUUUACCAAUUCCUGUAGUUAAUCUGAGGAUAGAUUUAGUUUCCCUUAUCACACUGAAUAGUAUUUAAGCAUAUAUGUAAGUAUAUUUACAGGUCUGUAGGUAGUAAGCCAUGAAUCAGCUUGGAUGAAG